rnacentral:piRNA from 1 species
UCUGUGACAUCCCACCUCGUGGCCUCAAGA